rnacentral:rRNA from 1 species
GAUGAACGCUGGCGGCGUGCCUAAUACAUGCAAGUCGAGCGAACAGACGAGGAGCUUGCUCCUCUGACGUUAGCGGCGGACGGGUGAGUAACACGUGGAUAACCUACCUAUAAGACUGGGAUAACUUCGGGAAACCGGAGCUAAUACCGGAUAAUAUAUUGAACCGCAUGGUUCAAUAGUGAAAGACGGUUUUGCUGUCACUUAUAGAUGGAUCCGCGCCGCAUUAGCUAGUUGGUAAGGUAACGGCUUACCAAGGCUACGAUGCGUAGCCGACCUGAGAGGGUGAUCGGCCACACUGGAACUGAGACACGGUCCAGACUCCUACGGGAGGCAGCAGUAGGGAAUCUUCCGCAAUGGGCGAAAGCCUGACGGAGCAACGCCGCGUGAGUGAUGAAGGUCUUCGGAUCGUAAAACUCUGCUAUUAGGGAAGAGCAAAUGUGUAAGUAACUAUGCACGUCUUGACGGUACCUAAUCAGAAAGCCACGGCUAACUACGUG